GGAAACAGUGGUUGGGGCCACAGAGAGCCUGGUCCUGUUAUUGUUCUUGUCAUCAUCAACCCUUCCUGUGGGUGUCAAGUUCCUGGUAAUAAAUACUGUAGCAGUAGUAAAGCUACUAUGCAUACAGUGUCAAUUAGAUGCUGGUCAUUGUUCGAAGUGCUUUGCCGUAUUAAGAACCUGAUCCUGACAAUAACCCUAUGAGCAUCUUGGGAGUCUGGACACCAUUCCAGGAUGGGCUUGAUCAGCGCUGAAUGAACCAGUUUGAGACACAUGAUCAGAUGAAACUGACAGGACAUAGUGAGAAAUGAAGACACAGAGAGAAGCUAAGUCACUUCUCAAGGUCCACAGUUAGUACAGGAGAGACCAGAUUUCAAAUCCAGCUAGGACCUCCAGCAAAAUACCUGGAAGAAGUAAUAAAAAUGCCCUUUUCCUGAUCAUACGGGAGUUGGGAACAAAGAUGGCUUUGUUGGGAACAAAAAGUGAGGCCUAUCCUCAAACUCAAUUGGAGCUGAUUGUUAUAAUUUAUUAAAAGUGCAAUUCUGUUCAGAACAUGAAAUGGGAUAAUGACUUAACAGGCACACAAAUGAGUGUUAAAUCAUGCAAAGCUUGAAAAGAGAACCCAAGCAGAGAGAGGACCAAAGUUUCUGGCUAGAGUUGCACCAAAUCAACUAUGGAGGUGAGCACCAUGAAUUCAGGAAAUGGCCUUCUCAGAGGGAGAUCUGCAGUGGUUGUAAGGAAGACACAUAAAUAUACGAAUGAAUCAAAGGUGAUCUUUAUUUUCAAGAAGACAAGAUAUUAAAGAAAAAUAGAACACAUGGCUGCCUAAGAUAAAUGUUAAAUGACAAGCUUGGUUCUUUUCAGAGCUUCACUAUCUGCCUGGUAACCCUGGAAUGGAAACUUGGGGUCAUUUUUAACCUCCCUUUUUCCCUUGUCCCCCCACAUGUGUUCUCAAUUCUUGACCCCUUUUUUCAUACUGAUUCCUUUCCCUGAAAUUCUGUUUGCCCUGUCCUUCCCAUCCCUUAAGGCCAAGGUAAAUGCCAACUCCAGCAUGGAGGCCUCCUGAUGUCCUCAGUACAAAGUAACUUCUGGAGCUUAAACCUACUUGCAAAAUGCCAGUGCUCUAGGGUGGAGUGCAUGGUGGCUCUCUUUUGUCUGGGCUAGAGGAAGGAAGAAGCCAGAGAUGUUUCACUUUUUGUCUGUAAGAUCAAGAGCUGAACUAACUCAGUUGACCUACCAGCAGAGGGAUUUUUCAGGCCAGUUGUUGAUACCUUCAUACUUCAGCUCCUUGGUAGGAAGAAGAAGUGGUGAAUGUGCAUCUCCUCAGAAGAGUCCUGAGCUUCUGGGAGGCUGUGGAGAGAGACAGGGAGAAAGAGAGGGACAGAAAGACUGGGAUGAGCUCUCUCCUGGCAGGGAGCAGGCCCAAAUAUCCCACGUCUCCAUCUUCAUGACAGGAACAAAUGUGGCUGGAAAAUGUAAUAUUUGGAUAUGUCAGCUGCUGUUUCUCAUUCAGUUAACUCUUGUGACCUUUGGCUCUCUCCCAUUCAGUCAGUGGCCAAACUUGCUUUAGAACUUCAGCAGAUGAGAACCUCAAAAAAGUACUACUUGGCUUUUUAAAACUCAUGACAAAGAUAAGAGCCAUGAGAGGUGGAGGUGAGAGAAAGCUUUAGUUUGGAUGUGCCAGAAACGAGAGGCUGGGGAGAUGGGCCACUUUUGUCCACCUAUCUAGACUGGAGAAGCCUCCUGGGUGUGAGGUACAGAGUUGUAGCGAGUUGGGUAGUUGGGUUUUGGGCAAUGACCAAGGCAACCACACUUCAGUGAAGGUCCUAGGACAGGGAGGAUCUGUGUCUUGCUUCUUAGGAAAGCCCAGGAAGAUGUUAAACCUUGCAGUUCUCUUGCACCAUGCAGCUUGGUGAAUGGUGUGUCUCUGCAAAGAGAACCUGAAACGGCCCACUGCCUUUCCCACAGCCACAGAGUGGCAUGGGAGAACAUCUGGAAGCCCCUGCCCCCCAGUGCUACCUUAGAGAAGGCCUUUCACCUAUCUGACCAAAGACCAGUGGGCCAGAAGAGGACUCAGAUGUGGUGACCACACAGGGAGCUGUGACAUCUCUGGGAAUGCUAGGGAAGAUAGACACAGGCAACCAGGACUGGAGCUGAUGUACAAUCAUCCCAGGGGAUGUGAGGUACAGAGGUGAUGGUGGCUAUAGAUGAGAUAAGUCCUCCUUAUCAAAGGAGCUCUAUAAGACUCAGUGUAACACAGAUAAAGCUCUCUGGACAAAACCAUAGAAAGCAGCUCUGGUUUGCCUGAGCUUACCCUGUCUAAGAUGAAGCUUCUGUUACCAACAGGAAAAGGGGUUUGAGACAGAAACAUAAAAAUAAAGAUCCAUUUGCUCAUCUCAGCUUGUCGCCAAAAUAAUUUUUAUGUGCUAUACAACGUCUAGUAAGAGAUACCAUAUCCUUGAGUGUUGCAAGUGUCUCAUUUAUUGGCAAAGUGCCCCACCUAUUAGUUCAACUGCUAAUAAAAUGUCCUUAAACGUGAUCCGCUGUUAGCUCUCUUUGGAGGUGAGCUAGGCAGUGGGGUGGGAAGGAGACUUAAGCUUCCACUAGGGGCCACCAGACACCACAAAGGAGCAGACCCCGCUGUCCAAUGCAAUAUUAGCCACUUCUGUAGAGCUCCUAAUAAGCCACCAAACAGAAAAAAAGUGUCAUACUGAAUUCCAGUUUAAACUUGCACCCAGCCUAUAGUUGCAUCGAAAUUUUGGUGUGAGAUUAGGAGGGCCUUUGCCUCUAGAGAGCUUUGGUGAAAGAUUCUCCUUGCAAGGAGCAAAUACUUCAUUUUUAAGACCUGUUUUUUGUUUGUUUGUUUGUUUUUUGUUGUUUUUUUGGUUUUGUUUUGUUUUACAAAUUGUUCCUUUCUUACAGAGAAGUUAACAAUUUAAAUACCACUUGGCACAGUUUCCAGUUCCUUCAGAGAUAGGAGAUGGCUGGGUUCUGCUACGUGCUCAGCAGCAGUACCUUUUAUUGGACCUCUGGUUGAUUGUCCAGAACUCUUAUCAGUUAUCACAAAUUCUAGGAUUAGCGAACUGCCAAGAAGAUGCUUUACCUUUGCCUGUUUCUGAGACAUGGAAACACUUUAAAAGCCAUCUCUUCAGCACUUGGGGAUCUAAUUAGUUGGCUAUCUAAGUUUUGCCUUUUGGAUCUGGUCUCCGAGUUGUAGGGGUUAGAUGCAAUGGAAGUAAUGAACAGCUUGGAAAUACUCUCCUGUCCUGGUCAAGCUAGCAGUCAGCAUCCUUUUUGUGGCAGACCCAGGCCUGACACCCUCCUCAACAGUCAUCAAAUCUUAAAACUAGGUAAAAAUCCUUCAGUAGAUCCCCACUGAGUCAUAAAUCCUUCUCAUGGCACCUGAGGACUGUCUUAGCCUGACUUUUCCUUGAUGUCAGUUCUUACCUCAAAUCCCCUCCUUGUAGUUCAUGGAAUGCACCAAACUCUUUUUCACACCUUUGUGUGUUUGUGUAUACUGGUACUCAGUAUAUCCUCUCCCUUUGACCAUCUGGUGAAUACCACUUGUAUUUCAGCACUCACCCCUUCCCUGAAUCCUUUCCUGAACUUCUAAGAAAUUAUAACUCUGUAUUCCUCAUGCUUCUGUUGUACUUGUUUUAUAGCCUCUUUAGUGCUUUUUUUGGAGGAAUUUAAUCAUGUGGCUGUCACUCCUAGAUUGUAAGGACUUUGAAGGCAAGGACUGUGUCGCAGCUAGCUCUGUUCCUAAUGUUUGAUGUCUAAUAGGCCCUCAAGAAAUCUUUAUUGAGUAAAUUAAAUCUGUUUUGAUUUCUUGCGAAAAUCUUAUUGUGCUGCUAGUUUAACAAUGGUGGCUGGAAGCUCUUUUCCAGUUGACUGAAUGUAGUUGUGUUGAGAAGAAAGAUUCCAGCUCAGGACUGGGAAGAACAGGGCAUUAUUCAAUCCUGACUUUAGGUCCAAGGGACCACUGAAUCAUGGAAGUAUUUCAUUAAGCAAGGAAUUCACCAACCAAAACUGGGUAAAGGAUUUCAUUGCAAUGGAUGGUCUCUUUUAUGAGAGUUUAUUGCUAUUAGGGAUUUUGUUGACCAAGACCAGACCCUCAUCUGAGAAGCUCCAAAGAAGCUCUUGAAAUUAACUCCUGGAGAAGCCUUGCUUAACAGGCAGGUUCUGAGAAAACUAUGAUGUAGAGGAAAUCUGUCUUUACUCCGUAAUUUUCCCUCCUGUCUGGUGUUCCCUCUGGUCUCAGAUUGUAACUAAGAGAUUCAGAGUGCCCCCUUUCACCUAUUUUUAAAAAUAUAUACCAGAAAUACAGUUCUCAGUGUUAAAAAAAUUUUUAUUCAAGUAUAAUAAACACACAGUGCUGUAUUAGUUUCAGGUAUACAUACAAUGAUUUAGUAAUUCUAUAGGUUUCUCAGUGCUCAUCAAGAUAAGCAUACUCUUAAUCUCCUUAUUUAUUUCCCCCAUUCCCU